GGGGAUUUAGCUCAGCGGUAGAGCGCUUGCCUAGGGAGCGCAAGGCCCUGGGUUCGAUCCCCAGCUCCG
rnacentral:tRNA from 1 species